GCCGUUGUAGCACAAUGGUAGUGCGUUGCUUUCCUACGAUGAUUACAUAAUCACGGGCUAGGCAAAGGUUGUGGGUUCGAUCCCCAUCAACCGGUU
rnacentral:tRNA from 1 species